UAAUCAUUUAGCGCUCGCACUGUGAUUUAACAAGCUUCAAACUGUUCUGCAGCCACUGUUUUGCUUCUAUGUCUAGCACGUCUUGAAUGUUCGUGCAAACUGGCAAAGUUACACACUACACGAUGGAUAGACGAUCCUCCUUCUGUGUCCAUAUUAACAUAUUUGGAUUACAUAGAUACAUAGAUAGUACUUUAUUGAUUCCUUCAGGAGAGUUCCCUCAGGAAAAUAAAAAAAUUGACAGCGUUACGGCGCGUGCGCAGUCAGCUUUUCAUUCCACAGCACUUGCCGCUGAGCUUCUGCUGCUGCCACGCGCCUGCACGACUGUGCGCAAUCACCGAUCAACACACCUGCUGCUGAUGAGACCACUCCCCAUAAAAGCCAGCGUGUCUUGAGAUCCAGUGCUGGAACGUAGUUCUCUGUUUACAUAUUCAUUUCGUCUCCCUGGACUCGAGCUGUGCGCCUCAUUUCCUUGGACUUAGCCUCUGGAUCUUUACUGAUUCCCUGGACAACGACCUCUGCUUUUGGGCACGGACCUCUUGACGCCUCUCUCCAGCCUCAUGGACCUCCUGCUUGAAUUACGGAUUCUUCUACCAGCCUCGCCCUACUGGACUUGUCGCCUUCUCACUCAACGUGCACUUACAACAACCCCUGCAGCAAGAAGCUCCGCUGAGCGCGGCCACAUGCCUACACGGCUGCGGGCAAUCUGCAAUCAGCACACCUGGAUCUGAUGAGUCUCGACAGUAUAAGGACCAACGCAGCAGACGAUCCAGCACCGGAACGUAGUUCUCUGUUUACAUAUCCUCCGUCGCCUUGGAAGUGAGCUGUGCACCUCACUUUCCUGGUUCUCCCUCUAGACCCUGACUGCCUCCCUCGAUCCUUGACUUCCCUCACUUUGGACCCGGACCUCAGGACGCCUCUCUCCAGCCCCCACGGACCUCCCGCUUGGAUCAUGGACCUCUUUCUGCCCAGCCCCUUUGGACUUGUUUGCCUCUCCAACCAACACACACUUACAAUAAACUCCUGGUAAUACUAUCUUGUUAAUUCCUGCACAUAAUAUUGAAUGUACACACAUAGUAGCAUACACACUCCACUCACUCAUCAAAGCUCAAUAUACCCUGUUGAGCGAUACUUCCUGUGUUGUGCCGUCUCCUUCCCCCUUGCCGUACAUGACACGGACCUCUAAAACAAAAUCAAAGUGGUAGAAAAAUAAUUCACGGAGCAAUUAUGAUGGGCUCUCGCAGCCUUUGCUGCUCAGAUGCUAAUAAUAAUGUAAAUAAUAGGUGUUUAAUUUUUCAAAUCCAAAAAUUUAUUAUUUAAAAAAAUAUAUAUACUUUUUAUAAUCUUUUCUCAAAAAUUAUGAAUCAAUUUAGAAUCUAAAAAGAUAAAAAUCGCAGUUUGGAUGUUAAUCUUUUUUUUUUUUUUAGCAUCCCUACCAUUUAGCACUUGCUAUUUGGCUUUUAGUGGAUCAAAGUCCACAAUCCAAUUGCACAGUGUGAUGUUCAGUCAAAGGUUCUAUAGUUUGUAACAGAGUCUGUAGGGCUGGAAUGUGUUUAAAGCCAAACUAAAAUCAAUGAAGAGCAGCCUUGGGUGUUGUUGGUUGUUGAAAUAUUCUGCCUGUAUGCAAAUUGAUUUGGAUAGAGGGAUAGAGGUAUGGCCUUUUUAAAGUGUUUAAUUCCCACAAUGCAGUAUUUCUGUCUCUAAUAAUUGUUGUACAGUAUAUUACAUCAUGUGUCAUCCAAAGAUUUCUAUUUGGCACACACACUUGUUUUAAUUGUGUCACAUUGUUCAUAGUAGGUGUAGGGUCAUAUGCGCUAUGUAGCGCUUUCCUAUCAGCCAAAAAGUAUUUGUGUGAAUGUACCUUGUUGCAAACCCACUGUAUUUACAUUCAUGAAGUCAUCUUGAUGGGAGUUCGACAAUGUUGCUAGACUUACAAACCCCGUUUCCAUAUGAGUUGGGAAAUUGUGUUAAAUGUAAAUAUAAACGGAAUACAAUGAUUUGCAAAUCAUUUUCAACCCAUAUUCAAUUGAAUAUGCUACAAAGACAACAUAUUUUAUGUUC